AGGAGAGACUCUCUUUACGUCUGAAACAGUCCAGAAACGUCCUACAACAAGUCACAACCAAAAACAACCUUUAAAACAAACUGGACAUGAAAGACAGAAACAAACAGUCUCAAAGACGAAACCCUAAAAUAU
rnacentral:sRNA from 1 species